AGCGACCCCAGGUCACGCGAGACUACCCGCUGAUGAUAAUCAUAUCAAUACA
rnacentral:rRNA from 1 species